AUUCUUUUAUACAAACCCUAUAUUAAGCUAAAUACUCUUCUAUUCUAUACUAAAUACAAAUUAGAGAAGAUUAGAACUAGUUAGUANNAGUUCAAGUAUUAUCGAGUAGGUACUAGACUUAUAUAGGCUUCUCNAGCCGUAAGCGGCCCGUCUUGAAAUAUAGACCAAGGAGUCUAAUAUCUAUACGAGUAUUUAGGUAUUAAACCCGUACGCGUANCCGAGUAUACCCUAUCCAAUAGUACUUAUACUAUACCUAUAAGCCUUGUAGUUUUAUAGUAAAAAAUAUACUAUUAUUUAGUACUCUAAGAAAGACCUUUUUCUUUAUUAGGAAUUUAGGAAUUCAAGACGAAUAUAAAGAAUAACUUAGAAUAGACUAAAACUAGUUAGUAAUUAGUUUCGUUUUCGAUUCGGAUACAGCUCCUCCUCGAUAGAAGGUACUAGUUCUUUGAAAAGAAAGCUAAAAGUAUAUAAAAUUAUUAAAAGAAAAGAACUUCCGUAGAGGCUCGUAGCGGUUCUAACGUACAAAUCGAUCGUUAAAUUUACGUAUAGGGGCGAAAGACUAAUCGAACUAUUUGCAAAUAGUAAUACUAGAUAGUUAAAGGGCGGAGAGCCUUAGUCCCUAUAGGGGCUAUACUACCAAACUACGGGGAACGCCUAUAGCCGGACGCUACCGCCCCCCCGCCGCGAGGUAGGAGGGGUACCCCGUUUACUUAGGGGUAUAGUAAUAGCGCGCCCGGCGGGUCGAUCCGUAGCCGUCCCCCAAUCCGUCGGGGGGUAGUUUAUAGACUAGACGGUAGUAGGCGCGGCGAGCGCUUAAGAUAUAGUCGAUCCAGCCCCUUAAGGGGCCGAGAGUAGUAGCUAGUUCCUACCGAAGUUUCCCUCAGGAUAGUAGUAAUAUUUUUAGUUUUAUAAGGUAAAGCAAAUAAUUAGAGGCCUAGGGGUUGAAACUAACCUUUACCUAUUCUCAAACUUUAAAUAUAUAAGAAGUCCUUAUUACUUAGUUAAACGUAGAUAUUUGAAUACACCGUUACUAGUAGGCUAUUUUUGGUAAGUAGAACUAGCGAUGCGGGAUGAACCGAAUAGGGGGUUAAGGUACUAGAAUACACGCUUAUUAGAUACUACAAAAGGUAUUAGUUUAUCUAGAUAGUAGGACGGUAGCUAUAGAAGUCGGAAUCUACUAAGGAGUAUAUAAUAACUUACCUACCGAAUAAACUAGCCCUGAAAAUAGAUAGCGCUCAAGCGUACUACCUAUACCCCCCCUCCGCGGUAGGCUUUAUACCGCGGAGAGUAGGUAGGCGUAGAGGCCCGUAACGAAGCCUAGGGGGUAACCCCAGGUCGAACGGCCUCUAGUAUAGAUCUUGGUAGUAGUAGUAAAUACUCAAAUAAGAACUUUAAGGACUAAAGUAGGGAAAGGUUCCGUAUAAAUAGUAGUUAGAUACGGGUUAGCCGACCCUAAGUACUAGGGUAGUUCUAACUCAACGUGCGCGCUUGCGCGCCGUAGUACGAAAGGGGAGCCGGUUAAUAUUCNUUAAUAGUCCGUUACCCUGAAAUCGGUUUGUCCGGAGCUAGGGUUUAACGACCGGUAGAGCCCCUUACCUUUAAGGGGUCUAGUACGCCCCUAACGUCCCUUAAAAAUCCGCCGGAUAGAAUAGCUUUCACGCUAGGUCGUACUUAUAACCGUAGCAGGUCUCCAAGGUAAACAGCCUCUAGUUAAUAGAAUAAUAUAGAUAAGGGAAGUCGGUAAAAUAGAUCUAUAACUUCGGGAAAAGGAUUAGCUCUAAGGGUCGGGUACGUUGGGCCUUAGGGGGACGCUCCUAGAGUAGGUUAGUACUAGGCUCACGCCCGGCGCCUCCUAGUACUAUAGGGUCGACGCCCUUAGUAGGCUUCGGCCGUCCGGCGUACGCUUAACGACCAACUUAGAACUAGUACGGACAAGGGGAAUCUAACUAUCUAAUUAAAAUAUAGUAUUGCGAUGGCUAGAAAGUAGUAUUAACGCAAUAUAAUUUCUACCUAGUACUCUAAAUAUCAAAGUAAAGUAAUUCAACCAAGCGCGGGUAAAUAGCGGGAGUAACUAUAACUCGAGCAACCUCGAGAGGGUUAUAAGAGCGGCUAUAGGCCGCUAGCGGAGGGGGCUCGCCCCCCGAGCGAUACUAUUAAAUUACGGGGACCUCUAGAUACCUCCGCUACCAACCCGGGGCCCGAAAGGGCGCUAGGGGCCGGGACUAAUAGUUCCCGGGUACGGUAAUAGCGCGUAGGCCCUAGACGAUCCGCAGCCAAACCUACCGCCCCCCCUAGGGAGCGCGGGCGUAGUUUAACGACUAAAUAGUAGUAGGGCCCCCCCUCGGGGGCCCUAAGAUAUAGUCUACUAGAGAGCCUAACGGCCUCCGCUUAGAAAGAGCUCUUAAGGUAGCUAAAUACCUCGUUAUCUAAUUAGUAACGCGUAUAAAUAGAUUAACGAGAUUCCUACUAUCCCUAUCUACUAUCUAGCGAAACCAUAGCCAAGGGAAUAGGCUUAGUAGAAUUAGCGGGGAAAGAAGACCCUAUUAAGCUUGACUCUAGUUUAAUAUUAUAAAAAGAUAUAGGGGGUAUAGAAUAGGUAGGAGCUUCGGCGCCGGUAAAAUACUACUACCCUUAUCGUUUUUUUACUUAUUCAAUUAAGCGAAACUAGACUUUACCGUCUAAUUUCUUAUAUUAAGGUCCUUCGCGGGCCGAUCCGGGUUGAAGACAUUGUUAGGUAGGGAGUUUAGCUAGGGCGGUAUAUCUAUUAAACUAUAAUAUAGGUAUCCUAAGGGGGACUUAUAGAGAAUAGAAAUCUCUAGUAGAGUAAAAGGGUAAAAGUCCCCUUGAUUUUAAUUUUUAGUAUAAAUACAAACUAUAAAAGUAUAGCCUAUCGAUCCUUUAGUCCCUCGGAAUUUGAGGCUAGAGGUACUAGAAAAGUUACUAUAGGGAUAACUAGCUUAUAGUAGCUAAGCGUUUAUAGCGACGUUACUUUUUAAUCCUUUAAUAUCGGCUCUUCCUAUUAUACUAAAGUAGAAUUCGGUAAGCGUUAGAUUAUUUAUCUACUAAUAGGGAACGUAAGCUAGGUUUAGACCGUCGUAAGAUAGGUUAGUUUUACCCUACUAAUAACCGUCGCCCUAACGGUAAUUCCGCUUAGUACGAGAGGAAUCGCGGAUUUAGAUAAUUGGUUUUUAUAGCUAUCUAACCGGGUAGUACCGCGAAGCUACUAUCUACUAGAUUAUAGCUAAACGCCUCUAAGUUAGAAUCUAUACCGGAACGGGGUAAUUUACCUCUAUAUACUUUACUCGUAUACGAAUAGGCUUCGGCCCCGGACCUUAGUAGGCCGACGACGGGGUAGCUCCCGAAACGGGCCCCCCUAGUUAGCGUAUUACAAUUUU
rnacentral:rRNA from 1 species